GUCACGUAAAUCUAAUAUUUACACGUUCGCCCACGCAACUUGCAGCGUACUCCCGUGUUGUAACACAGCCGCCAGUUUUUUCUUUCACUCGCGGAGGACUUUUGACGAGCGAACAAAACAUCAGGGGCCCUCCCUCUCAUCAGGGGCCCUGAAUGCCCCCUGCAUUCAUCCACAUUUGAAAAGCUUCCAUUGGGUGGCUGGGGGUGGGAGACACUGUAGGUAAAGCUGCUUUAAGGACUCCGAACUUCUCUUUGCCGAGUGUCGCCCGCUUAUUGUGGGAGGCUCUCACGAACACGUGGGAGGCUGAGCGGUCGAGGAGAGGGCCGGGCCGGGCGGGCGGCGGAGGGGUUACUCGACGCAAGAGUCAACAGCUGCAUUUCGGAGCCAAAACGCCGGCGACGAAAAAGAAACCCGAGCACGUGCAGGAGAACGGGCAAGCGCAGGAUCUCGAUAGCGUAUGCCACGACAUCGAGGCGAAGAGGGCGACCGCUCACUCACCCUGACGGCGUCGUUUCCACCGCGUAGAAUCACACCGUCCUUCUUCCACGAGACGGUGGGCUCGGGGUGGCCGCGCGGCGGCACGCACUCCAGCAUCGCCGCCUCCCCCGCCGCCGCCACCACGUCGGCCGGCUGCUGCCGGAAGUCGUCGCGCAGCACUGGGGGCACGGGCAUGGGCAAGAAAUAAAAACAUCAGAAUUUGUUUUUUUUUGCAUUGCCACUGUCCAGGGAAAGCACGCGUGUCUCAGGUUUAUCCGAGUGACACGUGAUAUGCAAUGUCUACUGAUGUAUAGCUGCUCACGUGUCAAUUAAACACGGUUCAUAUAUCAACUUACGUAACAUAUGCCAGUUUUCUCUGGGCCCCACAGAGUAAAAUGCAAUCCCAAACUAUAAUUCAGUUCAUAACCCUCUGCUCUAUCCCUCUGCUCUGAAGAAAAACUAUUUCUUUAAACUUCAGAGGGGCUAUGCAUUUUUCUGUUGUAAGGCAAUGCUAAUUAACGUGUUUUAUUUUUAUAUAAAGUACUUUUCCUCAACGUAAUUUUUUACAUAUUAUUAUAAUGCUUGUUUACCCAGGAAAACCUCACUGAGUCUCAAGACUAUUUUUCAGGAGGGUCCUGCCAAGUUUUUGCAGUAAGGGGGGGGGGGUGCGACCUCGCUACAGUAUGUAUAAUGCCAAUUUAAUAAUUUGCAGGAAAUGCUUCAGUACCGGGAAGUUUUUUUUGGCCAAUACCACUUACAAUGUAUGCUUGUUGAUAUUAUUUAGCGGGGGGGGGGGGGGGGAACGAUAUCGCAAUCACUUAAUUAUUUGAGUAAUUAUUGGGCCUUACAAUGUGCAGUAGUGUAUAUUUAUUUAGAUUUUUUUAAUUCUGCAUACCAAUGGACGCACACUCUGCAUGCAUGCAUACACACACAUGAUACUGGAAUCACAUAAAAGCACGUGAGCACACAAUAUAACCCCGAAGCCUCACAUGCUUAUACUUAUGAGCGACAGCAAAAAAUGAUUUUAGAAUAAAACCUCCAAACGAUUUGCAACAGCGUCAUAUAUGUAUACAGUGGUCCCUCGUUUAUCGCGGGGGAUACGUUCUAAAAAUAACCCGCAAUAGACGAAAUCCGCGAAGUAAUCAGCUUUAUUUUUUACAAUUAUUAUACAUGUUUUAAGGCCGUAAAACCCCUAACCACACACUUUUAUACACUUUUCUCAGACAGGCAUUAACAUUUUAUCACAUUUCUCUCUAAUUUAAACACUCUCAAAGUUCAAACUUUCGCAGAUUUAAAAAAAUAAGUACAAUAUUAGUAAAUUAAACCAAAGAUCAAAACCUCUUUUCAAGUCCAAACAUUUUUGUAAAUCUGGCUAGCCGAACGCAUUCUGUACUCCCUUAGCUAAUCAGGACGCAGAACACAUGUGCGGUUCUCCCUUAGCCAAUCAGGACGCCGAACACAAUGCGCGUUCAUACUGUACGCA